AAUGUUUAACAGGCCCUUUAAGGGAACAGUGUGAGACACUUUCUAAGACCCAAUCACACCUCUUCUGCUGAAUUCCUCGUUUUGUUCAUCUUUGACUCCUCUCAGCACAACACAAUGCCUAACAGCAGGUCCCCCAGUAAGGCCUCUGUUGAAGGAUAAAAUAAUGAGUGAGAUUCUGAAAACACUCACCGAGUGGGGUAUAAACAUCCAGGAGACUUGAGCCAUCCAGUAAUUUGUGACAGGAGAAAUGCUUAGAUUCAUCCAAUCCCAUCAGGGCCUGUUCUCCGUCCCAUCAAGGGAGCGAUUGGACUGUGGGCAGGAGCAGUGUGCACCUCCACCUUAGCAAACCUUGGUGUGGACAGGCUCAGGCCUGAACCCUGUGACCUCAGGCGGUGCUGACUCACCCAUCUUUCUGUUGCCCAUACUGCUCUAGACUUCUUGCAAAGGUCCAUGCCCUCCGUCCCUUAUCUUCAGAAAGCAUAUUUUUCCUGCAGCUCUUGAUCUUAAAAUGUUGCGCAUUUGACUCUUGCCUACUUUGAUAAUUUGCUGCAGCCUAUUUCUACAUUUUUCCAUUAAUCCUUCACGGAAUGAAAAGGAGAAAAGCAGACAUUUUCUUAUCAGUUGCAAACAACUCCCUCCUGUCCCCAAGCUCCCGGUAACACCACCAGGUAAUCUCGACCGCAGAUAAGAAAAGUACACCCCACCAGGCUGCCUUCUAACCCUGCCGGACUCGCGCUCUGGGUCUGUCCUGGAAUUCACUAUGUAGACCUGAUUGGCCUUGAACCCGAAGAGAUCUGACUGUUUCUGUCCCCUGAGUGCUGGGAUUAAAGGUGUGUGCCGUCAUGCUCAGCUGAAAUUGUUUUGAAGACAAAUCCCUCAGGAGCCUCGGGAGGUGGCUUGGUGACUGAUGUUUUGACUGUAUGGAUGUUCCGCCAUGUGUAUGCUCAGUCCCCCUGGAGGCCAGAAAAGGACAUCAGAUCCCUGGAAUUGGAGUUGUAGAUGGUUGUGAGCCGCCAUGUGGGAAUGGAACCCAGUCUGCUCUCUGCAAGAGAAUCCACCACUCUUAACCACUGACCCGUCUCUCCAUCCUGGUAACCCACUUUUAGUGGAAAGUAGUGAUGGAACCAGCCCCACACCCCCCCAUACCCCACAUUGUUUUAGCAGCUAUGACAGGCUGAAGAAAAGACAUGUAGACCUUUGACUCAGCACAUGUCUGACCUUGUUGGGCCUGCCCUAGUCACUAGGAGGUCAGAUGCCCUUCUUGUGGCAAGGAACCCAUAAGAAGUUAGCUGGUGGGGCUGUGCUUUGUGGCUCUGGAAGUGCUUUUUUGUACAAGCGGCACAACAGUGGCAGCAGAGCAUAGCAACAGCCCUGGGAGAGCCUAUGGGCCAUAACAACCAGUUGACCAAUCAGGACAGGUCAUUCAAGCCUGGUAGCUCACCAAUCCUGAGACUGUUGCAGACCCCUAGACAUGCCCCUUAUGCAGCCCCAUAAGUAGCCCCCCUUGUGGUUUCUUGGGGUCCUUCUCCAGUCAUCCACUCUGAUGAACGGAUGAAGCCCGAGUUACUGCAGUUAGCUCGUCAAACAACAACAAUAAAAGACUCUUUGCUUUUGCAUCGAAA